rnacentral:rRNA from 1 species
GGGAAUAUUGCACAAUGGGCGAAAGCCUGAUGCAGCAACGCCGCGUGAGUGAUGAAGGUCUUCGGAUUGUAAAGCUCUGUCUUUUGGGACGAUAAUGACGGUACCAAAGGAGGAAGCCACGGCUAACUACGUGCCAGCAGCCGCGGUAAUACGUAGGUGGCGAGCGUUGUCCGGAUUUACUGGGCGUAAAGGGUGCGUAGGCGGAUGUUUAAGUGAGAUGUGAAAUACCCGGGCUUAACUUGGGUGCUGCAUUUCAAACUGGAUAUCUAGAGUGCAGGAGAGGAGAAUGGAAUUCCUAGUGUAGCGGUGAAAUGCGUAGAGAUUAGGAAGAACACCAGUGGCGAAGGCGAUUCUCUGGACUGUAACUGACGCUGAGGCACGAAAGCGUGGGUAGCAAACAGGAUUAGAUACCCUGGUAGUCCACGCCGUAAACGAUGAGUACUAGGUGUAGGAGGUAUCGACCCCUUCUGUGCCGCAGUAAACACAUUAAGUACUCCGCCUGGGAAGUACGAUCGCAA